UACAGAGGGUGCAAGCGUUAAUCGGAAUUACUGGGCGUAAAGCGCGCGUAGGUGGUUUGUUAAGUUGGAUGUGAAAGCCCCGGGCUCAACCUGGGAACUGCAUUCAAAAACUGACAAGCUAGAGUAUGGUAGAGGGUGGUGGAAUUUCCUGUGUAGCGGUGAAAUGCGUAGAUAUAGGAAGGAACACCAGUGGCGAAGGCGACCACCUGGACUGAAUACUGACACUGAGGUGCGAAAAGCGUGGGGAGCAAACAGG
rnacentral:rRNA from 1 species